GACAAACGCUGGCGGCGUGCCUAACACAUGCAAGUCGAGCGCGAAAGGGACCUUCGGGUCCCCUGAAAGCGGCGAACGGGUGAGUAACACGUGGGCAACCUGCCUCAAGGACUGGGAUAACUCCGGGAAACCGGGGCUAAUACCGGGCGAUGUCGUCUCGCGCAAGCGAGCCGACCAAAUGGUAGCUUCGGCUUCUGCCUUGAGAUGGGCCCGCGUCCUAUCAGCUUGUUGGUGAGGUAACGGCUCACCAAGGCAACGAUGCGUAGCCGACCUGAGAGGGUGAUCGGCCACACUGGGACUGAGACACGGCCCAGACUCCUACGGGUGGCUG
rnacentral:rRNA from 1 species